ensembl:lncRNA
UCCAGUAAGCUAUUCAUAUUCACAGACUGGUGCUAGUAAAAUCUGUCAUCCCCUUUUCUCAGAAGAAACAACACUAGAACUUUCCACAACAGACACAAUUACUGGUAAGUGUGUUUAUAUAUAUAUAUAUAUAUAUAUAUAUAUAUAUAUAUAUAUAUAUAUAUAUAUAUAUAUAUAUAUAAAUAUAUAUAUAUAUAUAUAUAUAUAUUAGAUAAUUCCUUUUUUAAUUUCCCUAUUUAAUACUUAAACUCUUUUAUCUCUGUGUAUCUCUGCAGACACAACAUCACUGCAACCAACAACAGAAAACACCACAACAGACACAUCUAUUAGUAUAAAUUUAACAGACACAACAUUACUGCAAACAACAACAGAAACCACCACAACAGAAACAACUAUUGGCACAACUGUUCCAACAACAAUACCGGAGACAACAACAGAAACGACCACAACAGACACAACUAUUGGCACAACUGCUCUAACAACAAUACUGGAGACAACAACAGAAACGACCACAACAGACACAACUAUUGGCACAACUGUUCUAACAACAAUACUUGAGCCAACAACAGAAACGACCACAACAGACACACCUAUUGACACAUUCCUCACAAUAACUGCAUCUUCAACCACUAUUUCCUCAACUACUGUUCCCUCUACUAUUGUUCCCACAAAUGCAACUUCAGCACCACCAGGAAAUGUGAUGGUCAUGCGCCUAAAAGUUAUUUCAGUCAAAAACUUGAUGGCAGCGAACAGCUCCCAGUUAUUCCUCCAACAGCUCAAAGAGAUCCUAAUAAGCCGAGGAGUUUCAGACAACUUCACACUUCAACUGAGAUCCAUUAGCAAGAAGUCACCCUAGAAGGUGGAGGUUGUGGGAGUCUUCAAUAACACGUUGCUUAUUAACGUCCUAAAUAACUUUUCUAAAAUGUAUUAUAAAGUCAUUUUCUGAUAAGACAAUAUAGAUAAACCUAGAAGAUAAAAUGAAGCAAAAGCUAAAAUCACAUACAUAGCAAUAUUUUUUAUAAACAAUGAUCUGUGAACUAUAAGAACACCUCUUGUGUUUACUUUAGCUAUAAAUUUGCAUAAGAACAUAUAAUUU